rnacentral:rRNA from 2 species
GCCGCGUGCAGGAAGACGGCCCUACGGGUUGUAAACUGCUUUUAUUCGGGAAUAAACCUUUUUACGUGUAAGAAGUUGAAUGUACCGAAAGAAUAAGGAUCGGCUAACUCCGUGCCAGCAGCCGCGGUAAUACGGAGGAUCCAAGCGUUAUCCGGAUUUAUUGGGUUUAAAGGGUGCGUAGGCGGCUUAUUAAGUCAGGGGUGAAAGACGGUGGCUCAACCAUCGCAGUGCCUUUGAUACUGAUGAGCUUGAAUACACUAGAGGUAGGCGGAAUGUGACAAGUAGCGGUGAAAUGCAUAGAUAUGUCACAGAACACCAAUUGCGAAGGCAGCUUACUAUGGUGUCAUUGACGCUGAGGCACGAAAGCGUGGGGAUCAAACAGGAUUAGAUACCCUGGUAGUCCACGCCCUAUACGAUGAAUACUCAAUGUUAGCCAUAUACACCUUUCGACCAAACAAAACCGGAUAAUAUUCCACCUGGGGAGUACGCCCGCAAGGGUGAAACGGAAGGAAUUGAUCCUUAUUCCGCACAAGCGGAGGAGCAUGUGGUUUAAUUCGAUGAUACGCGAGGAACCUUACCCGGGCUUGACAGUUAGUGAAUGAUUUAUAGAUAGAUCAUGCCUGGUGGACACUAGCCUACGUGCUGCAUGGCUGUCGUCAG